rnacentral:rRNA from 1 species
UGGGGAAUAUUGGACAAUGGGCGAAAGCCUGAUCCAGCCAUGCCGCGUGUGUGAAGAAGGUCUUCGGAUUGUAAAGCACUUUAAGUUGGGAGGAAGGGCAGUAAGCUAAUACCUUGCUGUUUUGACGUUACCGACAGAAUAAGCACCGGCUAACUCUGUGCCAGCAGCCGCGGUAAUACAGAGGGUGCAAGCGUUAAUCGGAAUUACUGGGCGUAAAGCGCGCGUAGGUGGUUUGUUAAGUUGGAUGUGAAAGCCCCGGGCUCAACCUGGGAACUGCAUCCAAAACUGGCAGGCUAGAGUACGGUAGAGGGUGGUGGAAUUUCCUGUGUAGCGGUGAAAUGCGUAGAUAUAGGAAGGAACACCAGUGGCGAAGGCGACCACCUGGACUGAUACUGACACUGAGG